UACGGAAGGGGCAAGCGUUGUUCGGAAUCAUUGGGCGUAAAGGGCGCGUAGGUGGUUCUGUAUGUCUACCGUGAAAGCGUACGGCUCAACCGUAUUUUGUCGGUAGAAACUGCAGGACUUGAGGCCGGGAGGGGCUGGUGGAAUUCCCGGUGUAGCGGUGAAAUGCGCAGAUAUCGGGAGGAACACCUAUGGCGAAGGCAGCUCGCUGGGACGUUACUGACGCUGAGACGCGAAAGCGUGGGGAGCAAACAGG
rnacentral:rRNA from 1 species